rnacentral:tRNA from 1 species
GCCCGGGUGGUGGAAUUGGCAGACACGCACGACUCAAAAUCGUGUGCCGCAAGGCAUGGGAGUUCGACUCUCCCCCCGGGUA